AGCGAACGCUGGCGGCAGGCCUAACACAUGCAAGUCGAACGAACCUUCCGGGGUUUGUGGCGGUCGUGUGGUUACCACCUGGUAACGUGCCCGUAGGUUCGCUAUCCUUCAGUGUAACAUGUCUUCAUACCGCUGGUGCUCUUCCCGGGUAAGAUCACUGGCUUCUUGAGCGGCGGGCGUCUGUUUCGCUGGUUGGUUGAGGAAAUGGCUCACCAAGGCGACGUUCAGUAGCUGGUGUGAGAGGAUGAUCAGCCAGGUUGGGGAUGAGACACGGCCCAAAAUCCUACGGGAGGCAGCAGUGGGGAAUCUUGCGGGAUGGGCGAAAGCCUGACGCAGCCAUGCCGCGUGAAUGAUGAAGGUCGUAGGAUUGUAAAAUUCUUUCAGCGGGGGCGAUAAUGACGGUACCCGGAGAAGAAGCCCCGGCUAACUUCGUG
rnacentral:rRNA from 1 species